rnacentral:tRNA from 1 species
GCCCCUGUAUCCCAAUUGGCAGAGGAAACGGAUUCAAAACCCGUGCAGUGUCAGUUCGAGUCUGACCAGGGGCACCU